AACCUAAAUUAAAAAGAAGAACGGCAGAAUCCCACCUUUCUAAUCUCCAAGCACUCAUCUCCCCUUUACCCGAUCUCACUGGUUUUCAACCAAAAAAGAGAAUAACGAAGGAGAGGAAUUUGAGGGAGAGUCUAAAGAGUGGGGAACGAGAUAGAAAAAGCAGAGAAUAGAAGGGAGGAACGAACAGAGAGAGACGGGAGAAACAACAGAACAGGGGAUCGGUGAAGAAGUAUGAAAAGAUGGAAAUCGGCCGCUGCUUUACCCUUCUCCUCUAUACCAUCCUUUCUUCUAGUCUAGCCGUAACCACCACAUGUACACCCUCUAGACUCCAUAGAAAUAGCACCCUUUUAACACUUGAAAUCAGGCCCAAAACCAGCUGUAUUGACCCCAUAAAUCAGCUGUAAAACCAGCCUGUCAUAGCUAAUCAAAAAUAGCUCCCCGCUUUAGCUCCGAAACACCAUUUCUCUUUACCAAUAAGUGCAGCCAUGAAACCAGAUGAAAUGCCAUUUUUAUUCCUCCUUUUCAACACCCAAAAACCAACUCAAGUACAGUCCCAAAAUUAGCAACAACGAGCUGAAAAACAGCCCAAUUACCUAACACAAAUCAACCACAAACGUGCUGAAAUCAGUGCAAAACAGUUGCAAAAAUCUGCCCGAAACAACACCUGAAUACACAAGUUCUGUUCGAGCUCGAGUUCAUCUCCGGUGGUCGAUUUCGGUCGAGAGCCGUCUCUGUAAUUUCAACUCAGUCUAUUUAUACCAAAGACUACGUACAGGUUUUAGCGUAGGUGACCCACCUUAGCCUCGUCACUACUUUGUUGAGGUUGGGAUCGGCACUUACCAGUACAUGGAGUCGGUUGUGCUGAUACUGCACUCUGCACACUGUGUAGAUUUUUGAGACGGUCCCAACGGAGGUUACUAGCGAGCUCGGUUCGGACAUUUACGGAGACUUGAGGUACGACUGUUCAGCUCCUGCAGCUCCUAGAGUCUCCAUCCUCUUUUCUUUUAGCUGUACAACUUCAUUCAGACAACUUUGUACUUAUUUCAAACCUUUAUGUGUAUUACUUUAAAAGCUCGUGCACUUGUGACACCAGGUUCAGUGAAUUGUAAUAGACGUUGGUUGUUUAGCUUCCACGUUUAUACUUAGAACUUAUCUGUUAUUUCAGUUCAUUAUUAUUGUUAUCGUUUAA